rnacentral:lncRNA from 1 species
AAACAGAGAAAAAGCAGGAAGAAGUUCUUGCAAAUAGGUCAAAGUACAAGUAACAAGAGAGAAUAAUGUUGAGUAUAAGUGUGAGUUCAGAAAAACUACAAGUGUUGGUGUAUGUUUGUAUCAAUGAAAUAUUAAGGUAUUUAUAGUAGCAUUGACCGGACAAAGGUUUCAAAUGAAAAUAGGCAAGAAAUAAGGAAAGAAAAAUAAUUAUGGAACUGGAUACCAAUUAAAAUCAAUCAGUAUAAGACUUCCUUUAAUUAAGGAAUUAAAAUUAAAUGGUAACAUGCAAGUGCUAAAUAAGAAAAGAAAUCACAUAGGGAUGAAUAUGACUAAUAAGGAAAUAUUUCCAGCAUAGUACAAGUACACAGUAGGUAAUAGAGG